CAAAGUGACCUCCGCACACAGCCGCGCCAAAGGCUUCCACCGCGGAGGGAGACACCGCCUCCCGCCGCGCUCCGCGGCCGGGGAGGAGCGAGGGGCGCGAGCCGGCACGGCGGGACGGCGGCCCGGGCCCCAGCGGAUGGAUGCAGAGGGAAAGGCCCGGUGCCGAAGGACGCAGAGGGACUCGGAUGGGAUUUGAACCCGCGGCCUCAGAUCCUCAGCGGGGCGGGAGUGGGACGUGGAGGAAAUUUUUAAUUAAAAUAAUCAAGACUCGGGGCUUCUCUGGACAAAUUGGAAGACCCCCUAACACCGGGCAUCCCUGACCACAGGGCAACAGUUAGCUGGGGCUGAGAAACAGCUGCUCCCUUCAAGGAAACUGAGGCUCACAGAAGCUAACUUCUCCAAGGCCACCCAGCCAAGGUUUGAGUCCAGACCGUCUGGCUCCCGAACCCACACACUUGACCACUCCACCGUACAGUCCCCAGCUGAGAGGAGACGCUGGAAUUUAGAGCCACAUUUUACAGCUGAAGAGACGAAGCCUAGGAAGAAAGAGUGAUUUCUGCCUUCUAGCUGCUUCAUCCGUUAAGCCUUCCCAGCCCUCUUCAGCCCAGAAUGGCCCCUCUCUCUGAACCCAGGCUCUUACUAUCCAUGUAACCUCGUUUGGCAAUUAAUCCCGGCACCUCCUGACACUGCUUGCAUGGCUGGUUAACUCCUCCAUUGGUAAAGCUUUUUAAGUGUCCCCAUCCCAGCUCCACCACAAGACUGGAGGCUGCUUGAGGACAGGGACUGGGGACCAGGGCUCCCCUUCUUUGUUCUCCACCACAGCACCUGGCAGCGAGCCUGGCACACAGUAGGUGCUCAGAACUCCGUGUUGAUUGAGGGACUGAUUGGGAAUCAGUGAGGGGAUAUUAGGGAGCGUGGGGGUGAGAGCGACUGCAGUGGUAACAGAAGCAAGAGCGGCAGCUGAGGGGACUGGGGGAGGGCAUUUUACCCGGAGUAAAAAUA